rnacentral:ncRNA from 2 species
GUCUUCGAGGAGCGUUGCGACGGGUACCGCGAAUUCCGCAUAUUCGCCGGCUGCCCGCCAGGCUCGGAGGCUUCAAUCGGAGGGUCCGGAUGCGCUGUCGCGCUGUCCCCCAACCGCAUCGAACCGCGCUCACGUCAA